GGACUCCAGUCUUGUGACGCACUCCCAAGGAUCCUGGAUCCAGAAGCGUGGGAUGGUCAUCAAAACUCAGACUAGCCAGCCGACCCAUCACGCAGGCGCAGCGAUCGUUGAUUGAGCAGCGAACGAAGCAAUACUAGGCUUGGGCGCGGGUCACAUGGCAUUUAGUAAAACCGGAAACGGUACUGGAUUCAGAGGCUAAGGGAACUUGAGAAAUUUCCUGUACUGUCCCUGAAUUAUCAUUGUCACCUCGUCCUCGUUAGUAUAGUG
rnacentral:lncRNA from 1 species